rnacentral:rRNA from 1 species
UCGAUAAGUCAGAUGUGAAUCCCCGGGCUCAACCUGGGAACUGCAUCUGAUACUGUUGAGCUAGAGUAUGUGAGAGGAAGGUAGAAUUCCAGGUGUAGCGGUGAAAUGCGUAGAGAUCUGGAGGAAUACCGAUGGCGAAGGCAGCCUUCUGGCAUAAUACUGACACUGAGGCUCGAAAGCGUGGGUAGCAAACAGGAUUAGAUACCCUGGUAGUCCACGCCGUAAACGAUGUCUACUAGUCGUUGGGUCCCUUGAGGACUUAGUGACGCAGCUAACGCAAUAAGUAGACCGCCUGGGGAGUACGGCCGCAAGGUUAAAACUCAAAUGAAUUGACGGGGGCCCGCACAAGCGGUGGAGCAUGUGGUUUAAUUCGAUGCAACGCGAAGAACCUUACCUGGUCUUGACAUAUCUAGAAUCCUGCAGAGAUGCGGGAGUGCCUUCGGGAAUUAGAAUACAGGUGCUGCAUGGCUGUCGUCAGCUCGUGUCGUGAGAUGUUGGGUUAAGUCCCGCAACGAGCGCAACCCUUGUCCUUAGUUACCAGCGGGUUAAGCCGGGAACUCUAAGGAUACUGCCAGUGACAAACUGGAGGAAGGCGGGGACGACGUCAAGUCAUCAUGGCCCUUACGACCAGGGCUACACACGUGCUACAAUGGUAGGUACAGAGGGCAGCUACACAGCGAUGUGAUGCGAAUCUCAAAAAGCCUAUCGUAGUCCAGAUUGGAGUCUGCAACUCGACUCCAUGAAGUAGGAAUCGCUAGUAAUCGCGGAUCAGAAUGCCGCGGUGAAUACGUUCCCGGGCC